UCAGGUAGGCCCCACUAGAAAUUCCACCAUUAAUCUCUCUGCCGUCUCCAACUUCUCACUCAUGCGCUCUCUCCUAUCCUGUUCGAUCCAAUUCGCACGGCGACUGCGAAACCGCAGACCCAGGCGAGCCGAUAGGUGGCGGCGACCGACGGCGCGCGACGGCCGGUGCGGGGCGAGCGUGGUCGCGGGGCAGCGAGCGGCGAGCAGCGCUAGCCUCGGCAUCAAGUUUGUGUGGCUCAAGGGAUGCAUGGUGGAGUUCGAGCUUGCCGGAUUUGAGGCUAGAGAGCACGACAGAAGGCUCCUGUAGUGGUUCAGCGGCGGCGGGGCCCCAUGAGCAAGCGCCGGCGAGGCACCAGCGGGAUGGCGACUGGCGGUCACCAGCCGGGCGCGAGCGCGGCGGCGCGGGACGCAGUUCUCUUUCGACGCCGGCAGGACUCGACGGCGGGUACGGCUGGCCACAGGUGUGGACCCCACAAACGCGUGGUGAAGAAAUCAGACCUCGACCCCAACGCGCGUUCGCUCGUUUCUUCGCUCAUCGGAUUGUGCGCCGACACGGUUUCCUGCAUGAGAAAUGUGUCUAUGUUUUUUCUUUUCUCUCCUCAUUAAUUUACUUACCAUAUCAGAUUUUUGCCUAUGUGGCAGUGUAAUUAAUUUUAUGAACACUAGCUGAGGUGGAGAGUUAUGACUGCCCUUAUGUAUCACAACUUAUAGCAGUUUGAUCAUUAAAAACUGCACAAGCAGUUUGAUUCGAUUGUUGGAAAA